UGGGGAAUAUUGGACAAUGGGGGGAACCCUGAUCCAGCCAUGCCGCGUGUGUGAAGAAGGCCUUAUGGUUGUAAAGCACUUUAAGCGAGGAGGAGGGUACUGGUAUUAAUACUACCAGGUACUGGACGUUACUCGCAGAAUAAGCACCGGCUAACUCUGUGCCAGCAGCCGCGGUAAUACAGAGGGUGCGAGCGUUAAUCGGAUUUACUGGGCGUAAAGCGUGCGUAGGCGGCUAAUUGAGUCGGAUGUGAAAUCCCCGAGCUUAACUUGGGAAUUGCAUGCGAUACUGGUUAGCUAGAGUGUGGGAGAGGAUGGUAGAAUUCCAGGUGUAGCGGUGAAAUGCGUAGAGAUCUGGAGGAAUACCGAUGGCGAAGGCAGCCAUCUGGCCUAACACUGACGCUGAGGUACGAAAGCAUGGGGAGCAAACAGG
rnacentral:rRNA from 1 species